rnacentral:lncRNA from 1 species
AUGCAGCACUUGCCACCUGCUCACACCCAGGCUGUAAUCCACAGGCAGGAGGCGAGCAGCUGGCGGAGCCUCCCUGACCUUCAGGUGGGAUUAGUCCCCAUGGGAACAGCAGGGAGCAGGCAGGUGAGGCCACUGCUCCUGCAGCAGCGUGGGGACCCAGCAAGGCUGCAGGGUGACUGGACAUCACCCACAAAAGGCACAGCCGGACCCCUGCUGUUGGGGUCCAUUCCCAGUGCCAGGUGCACUCUCACUAUUGGGCUCCAUCUCCAUUGUGUGUUCACCCCAAGACCCAUUCCACACUCAGAGCACUGCAGAGGAUCUGGGGCACACACGGGGACCAGCACAACCUGGCAGUGCUCCGGGGACCCCAGUACCUUGGGGCAGUGUGUGUGCAAGCUGUGUGUGGGAGCUAAUCCCAGUAACAUCUGCCAGACUGCUUGCCAUGUUUCCGGCUGUGGGCAGGGAGCAGGAUGGCUGUGCAGGGAACACGUGUGUGAGGGCUCCUGCUGGCAGGGGAGCCUGCAGCACCUAUUGGCCAGCCAAUUGUGUGCUGGCGCAGGUGCCAUCCACAGCCAGCAAGAAGCAGAGAGGCAACAAAUGGCACUGAGGAAUAAUGAGCCUCAGCUAUGGGGUCUGGGUGUCUUUGGACCUUGGUUGGGGUUUACCCAUCCUCCUUGUUCAGGAAGAUGCUUGAGGACAGCAGGACGUUAUAUGCAUCCUUCCCAGAGAAAUGAGUCUGUGGGAAAAAAUGAGGAAAAGGGAGCAGGGAGGCUGGGUGGGCAGAUGAUAUGUUGCCCCCGAUCUCAUCAGCCAGCCCCUGCAAAUAAAAGCCACCUGUUUCAGCCCUGGCAGCAGGAAGCCAUCUCCAGAACAAACAGAGCACCAGGCAACUGGGAGAAAGGCAAACAGGGGCUGGCACCAGCUCCAUCUGCUCCCUCACAGUUCCAGUCCUGGACCUCUAUCCCCAGGCGUGACAGUGCAGCCCCCACAGUGAUGGGGCAAGGGGAGCCUGGGGGGACUGUCCUGGUCCACUAG